GUAGGUGAACCUGCGGAAGGAUCAUUAGUGAAUUUUAGGGCGUCUACUUGUAGAGCCUGACCUCCACUCUCUAACACUGUGCACUUAUUGGCGGAUUGAAGCAGAAUUGAGAUUAACGUCUCUCUAAUUUAAUUCUUUCUGCGGCUUAAUUUUAAACACCAGUCAAAGUAUGUAACGAAAUAUCGAAAUAAAAAAAAAACUUUCAACAACGGAUCUCUUGGCUCUC
rnacentral:misc_RNA from 1 species